rnacentral:rRNA from 1 species
UACGAAGGGUGCAAGCGUUACUCGGAAUUACUGGGCGUAAAGCGUGCGUAGGUGGUGAGUUAAGUCUGUCGUGAAAGCCCCGGGCUCAACCUGGGAAUGGCGAUGGAUACUGGCUCGCUAGAGUGCGGUAGAGGAGAGUGGAAUUCCCGGUGUAGCAGUGAAAUGCGUAGAGAGUCGGGAGGAACAUCAGUUGCGAAGGCGGCUACCUGGACCAGCACUGACACUGAGGCACGAAAGCGUGGGGAGCAAACAGG